UGAUUUUGCCACCGUCGUGGUUCUGCGGCGCGGCUUGCCGCGUCGAGCUAAGAGGGAAGCCGGUGCGCUUGCAUGUCGCGAGCAAAUCCGGCGCUGCCCCCGCAACUGUAGGCGGCGAGCCGACGUCCACAACGUCACUGGGAUAUCCCGGGAAGACGGACGGAGGCACUGACCCGCAAGCCAGGAGACCUGCCUCGACAAACAACGUCCA
rnacentral:ncRNA from 2 species